ACGCUCGACACCUACGGGGGCAGCAGUGGGGAAUAUUGCACAAUGGGGGAAACCCUGAUGCAGCGACGCCGCGUGAGCGAAGAAGUAUCUCGGUAUGUAAAGCUCUAUCAGCAGGGAAGAAAAUGACGGUACCUGACUAAGAAGCACCGGCUAAAUACGUGCCUGCAGCCGCGGUAAUCUGAGCGGGCUGGCAAGGC
rnacentral:rRNA from 1 species